rnacentral:rRNA from 1 species
GACGAACGCUGGCGGCGUGCUUAACACAUGCAAGUCGAACGGAAAGGCCCUGCUUUUGUGGGGUGCUCGAGUGGCGAACGGGUGAGUAACACGUGAGUAACCUGCCCUUGACUUUGGGAUAACUUCAGGAAACUGGGGCUAAUACCGGAUAGGAGCUCCUGCUGCAUGGUGGGGGUUGGAAAGUUUCGGCGGUUGGGGAUGGACUCGCGGCUUAUCAGCUUGUUGGUGGGGUAGUGGCUUACCAAGGCUUUGACGGGUAGCCGGCCUGAGAGGGUGACCGGCCACAUUGGGACUGAGAUACGGCCCAGACUCCUACGGGAGGCAGCAGUGGGGAAUAUUGCACAAUGGGCGGAAGCCUGAUGCAGCAACGCCGCGUGCGGGAUGACGGCCUUCGGGUUGUAAACCGCUUCCGCCUGUGACGAAGCGUGAGUGACGGUAAUGGGUAAAGAAGCACCGGCCAACUACGUG